AAUWAUAAUAAUCAUUAUAUAAAUUACAAUUUUAUUACGUCAUGUGCCAAACGUAUGUGAUAAAGAUAAAAUAAAAAAUAAACUUAUGGGUCGAGUAGACAAGACCRUGAACCAUAUGAGUUUAAUAUCAUCAUAGAAUACUUUAGCCAAUCUGCGCUGUUGCCUGAUGUUAAAAAAAUAAUUCUCCGACUUCCACAAAGAUGGCGUCAAAGACAAUUUCAUUUAUUUAAAUACUCAUAUUUUUGUGCGCUUUUGUGCUGGUUGCUUCCUGAAGUUGUUGUCGUUCAACAGACACGCAAACAUUGUACCGAGACAUUUACCAAACAUAUAUUGACUGUACUCACAAUUCACCUGAUGCAUUUAGAACGAUUAUGUAGAUAUAAUACACAUGCAGCAAUUAACGGUAACGCACGUAAACUGGA